CAGGCCUAACACAUGCAAGUCGAACGCAUCCUUCGGGAUGAGUGGCAGACGGGUGAGUAACACGUGGGAACGUACCCUUUGGUUCGGAACAACUCCGGGAAACUGGAGCUAAUACCGGAUACGCCCUUUUGGGGAAAGGUUUACCGCCGAAGGAUCGGCCCGCGUCUGAUUAGCUGGUUGGUGGGGUAACGGCCUACCAAGGCGACGAUCAGUAGCUGGUCUGAGAGGAUGAUCAGCCACACUGGGACUGAGACACGGCCCAGACUCCUACGGGAGGCAGCAGUGGGGAAUAUUGGACAAUGGGCGCAAGCCUGAUCCAGCCAUGCCGCGUGAGUGAUGAAGGCCUUAGGGUUGUAAAGCUCUUUUGUCCGGGACGAUAAUGACGGUACCGGAAGAAUAAGCCCCGGCUAACUUCGUGCCAGCAGCCGCGGUAAU
rnacentral:rRNA from 1 species